rnacentral:rRNA from 1 species
CCUACGGGGGGCAGCAGUGGGGAAUAUUGCACAAUGGGGGAAACCCUGAUGCAGCAACGCCGCGUGAGUGAAGAAGUAUUUCGGUAUGUAAAGCUCUAUCAGCAGGGAAGAGAAUGACGGUACCUGACUAAGAAGCCCCGGCUAACUACGUGCCAGCAGCCGCGGUAAUACGUAGGGGGCGAGCGUUAUCCGGAUUUACUGGGUGUAAAGGGAGCGUAGACGGUUCUGCAAGUCUGAAGUGAAAGCCCGUGGCUUAACCGCGGAACGGCUUUGGAAACUGUGGAACUGGAGUGCUGGAGAGGCAA